UGAACGCUAGCGGUAUGCUUAACACAUGCAAGUCGUACGGGAGUUUUUAACUCAAGUGGCGGACGGGUGAGUAACACGUGAGAAUUUACCUUUAGGAGGGGGAUAACAAUUGGAAACGAUUGCUAAUACCCCAUAUGCUUUUUUAAGUGAAACGGAUUUAUUCGCCUAAAGAAAAGCUCGCGGCUGAUUAGCUAGUUGGUAAGGUAAUGGCUUACCAAGGCGACGAUCAGUAUCUGGUUUGAGAGGAUGACCAGACACACUGGAACUGAGACACGGUCCAGACUCCUACGGGAGGCAGCAGUGGGGAAUUUUCCGCAAUGGGCGAAAGCCUGACGGAGCAAUACCGCGUGAGGGAAGAAAGCCUACUGGGUUGUAAACCUCUUUUUUCAGGGAGGAAAAAAACUGACGUGUACCUGAAGAAUAAGCAUCGGCUAACUCCGUGCCAGCAGCCGCGGUAAUCUGAUGGCGCGAGG
rnacentral:rRNA from 1 species